rnacentral:rRNA from 1 species
GAUGAACGCUGGCGGCGUGCUUAACACAUGCAAGUCGAACGGAAAGGCUCCUGCUUGCUGGGGUACUCGAGUGGCGAACGGGUGAGUAACACGUGGGUGAUCUGCCCUGCACUUCGGGAUAAGCCUGGGAAACUGGGUCUAAUACCGGAUAGGACGAUGGUUUGGAUGCCAUUGUGGAAAGUUUUUUCGGUGUGGGAUGAGCUCGCGUCCUAUCAGCUUGUUGGUGGGGUAAUGGCCUACCAAGGCGUCGACGGGUAGCCGGCCUGAGAGGGUGUACGGCCACAUUGGGACUGAGAUACGGCCCAGACUCCUACGGGAGGCAGCAGUGGGGAAUAUUGCACAAUGGGCGCAAGCCUGAUGCAGCGACGCCGCGUGGGGGAUGACGGCCUUCGGGUUGUAAACUCCUUUCGCUAGGGACGAAGCGCAAGUGACGGUACCUGGAGAAGAAGCACCGGCUAACUACGUG